GUCAGGAACUACCCGUGCUUCAUUAACCAUGAGCGGUGCACAUAGGACUGAUGCGUCAGUCCGUUGCAUUGGGAUAAACCUUCUUAAAUCUGCAGUUCAGAUACUCAUGGACAGCUGAUGUAUAGACAGAACAGGAAAAGUCAAGAUCCUUAUUUUCAUGUCUUUAUUUUCGUGAAAACUCAGCAAAGAAGGGUAUGACACGAAGAAGAGGAUACGUCACACUAUAUGUACAGUAUUUGUGUAGCCUUGAAUCCCAGUGAACAGAGCAGCAGCUGUAAAGGAAUGAUGUAAGAAGAGAAAAAUGAGGGUCACAGUGGAAGUUGUGGGCAGAAGGCGAGGCGAGAACAACAAGGACGAACCCUGGUCACAAAGAUGUGAGGCAAUAAUGCUAAUCAUAAUGCCACCAUAUCAGCCCGUGUUAUUAAGUAUAUAGCCUAUUAGCUUAUUUUAAAACAUAUGCUAUUAUGUAUUACAGUUUCACACCAAGGUGGAUAAAUGUUAAUAAGAUUCUAUUCGUUUCCGUUUAUUUCUGAAUGUACAGUAACAAUAAAGAGAUUUUCGAUUGCUUGGCAAUAUGAGUGCUGAUACAGUAUGAGCAGUUCAUAAUGUUAGAAAUGUAUCGAUAACAGCAAGAGAAUUAACGCUCUUUAGGGCCCAUGUGUUAUCGAAUACACCGAUUUUAUGAGGGCAAGUUGAACAAAGUACUCGAAGGCGGGUCUUAGGCAAAAAGAGGUUUUACUGUAUUAACUGAACAGGAGCAAGGUAACAAACGAGAGCCCGAGUGGUCAGAACAAGAAGUCCAGCACAUGGAAGGACACGGACAUAGAGGAACAACGUCAAUGACCUAACUAGGACUGACGAGACAAACAGGUACUUAAAUACAAAGACUAAGGAGGGGUAACAAGCAACAGGUGUGGCUCAUCAGGGUCACGUCAGGCGGACAUGAUGGGCAGGACGUAACAAAUGCAAUUCAUUAACCAGUCAAAGGCCUUCCAUGUACCUGUCAGGCUCUUUGUUCCAAAGUAAAGUGUGUGAUUCCCAUCCCCCAGAACUCUCACGAAGUCCAGGUACUGUCUCUUUCCUCUCUACACCAUUGUCUACUAGACCAU